UGGGGGUUUUGCGUGCAAGAUGGCUGUCAUAGUCCUAAAAAACCUUGAAGUGGGCCUGCAUAUACAUUUUAAUGUUGUUUUUUGGCUUCUUGAUACUUUUAUAAGCCUAAAGUCAUUAUAAAAGUAAUUGUUUUGUUUAUAUCGUGGACAAAAUUGCUCUUUCAAAAUUUCAAUUUGGGAGCCUCCAUGGGGGAAAUCCCCCGCAAAUAGUGACAGUUGGCAGGUAU
rnacentral:lncRNA from 1 species